GACGAACGCUGGCGGCGUGCCUAAUACAUGCAAGUCGAACGCAGUGGGGACGGGUGAGUAACACGUGGGUAACCUCCCAUCAGAGGGGAUAACACUUGGAAACAGGUGCUAAACCGAUACUGAUGGAUGGACUCGGGGUGGAUGAGCUAGAUGGUGGGGUAACGGCUCACCAAGGCGACGAUGCAGAGACGGCCUGAGAGGGUGAUCGGCCACACUGGGACUGAGACACGGCCCAGACUCCUACGGGAGGCAGCAGUGGGGAAUCUUCGACAAUGGACGAAAGUCUGACCGAGCAACGCCGCGUGAGUGAAGAAGGUUUUCGGGUCGUAAAACUCUUUUGUUAGAGAGGCGGUAUCUGACCAGAAAGCCACGGCUAACUACGUGCCAGCAGCCGCGGUAAUAC
rnacentral:rRNA from 1 species